rnacentral:lncRNA from 1 species
UAGGAUGGGUGGGUACCCAUAUAAUUCACCAUCCAAACAGGACAUGAAAACUCUAAGAGCAUACAUGAGUUCUGUUAAUUAUGAGGUACUACUAGGGAAGAAUGUCAUGAAUGCUAUUUCAGAUCUGUCAUCUAGAAUCUUCUAAUCUGCCAACUUUUUGCAACUAAAGAUGAGCUCAUGUACAAGCUAACAAGAGGUGGGGAUGAAUCUAGGCUUUCUUGAAGGUUGUUAAAAGUUUAAGUCCCCCCAUUGUGCAGAUACACUCUGAAUUGGCUUGGUAAUUUUUAUAAUGACAGCUGCU